rnacentral:rRNA from 1 species
AUACGGAGGGUGCGAGCGUUAAUCGGAAUUACUGGGCGUAAAGCGCGCGUAGGCGGUUUGGUCAGUCGGAUGUGAAAGCCCCAGGCUCAACCUGGGAAUGGCAUUCGAUACUGCCUGACUAGAGUAUGGUAGAGGGAAGUGGAAUUUCCGGUGUAGCGGUGAAAUGCGUAGAUAUCAGAAGGAACACCAGUGGCGAAGGCGACUUCCUGGGCCAAUACUGACGCUAAGGUGCGAAAGCGUGGGGAGCAAACAGGAUUAGAAACCCCGGUAGUCC